rnacentral:rRNA from 1 species
CCUACGGGAGGCAGCAGUGGGGAAUAUUGCACAAUGGGGGGAACCCUGAUGCAGCGACGCCGCGUGGGUGAAGGAGUGCUUCGGCAUGUAAAGCCCUAUCGGCAGGGAAGAAGCAAGACGGUACCUGACUAAGAAGCCCCGGCUAACUACGUGCCAGCAGCCGCGGUAAUACGUAGGGGGCGAGCGUUAUCCGGAUUCACUGGGUGUAAAGGGAGCGUAGACGGCCAUGCAAGCCAGGGGUGAAAGCCCGGGGCCCAACCCCGGGACUGCCCUUGGAACUGUGCGGCUAGAGUGCGGGAGGGGCAGGCGGAAUUCCUGGGGUAGCGGUGAAAUGCGUAGAUAGCAGGAGGAACACCGGCGGCGAAGGCGGCCUGCUGGACCGCGACUGACGUUGAGGCUCGAAAGCGUGGGGAGCGAACAGGAUUAGAUACCCUUGUAGUC